rnacentral:sRNA from 4 species
UAUCUCUCCGUACGGGGAAGGAUGAGAAGCUUCGACUAAGGUUCGAUUCGAGCGCAGCGAGAAAGCGUUGCCGCAGGCAACGACCCGAAGGGCG